AUCAAGUUGACGAGUCCCAAAUAGGACGAAACGUGAGUCGCAGAU
rnacentral:hammerhead_ribozyme from 1 species